rnacentral:misc_RNA from 1 species
GUGUACAUCUGUGCGGUGUAGAUAUUUGGGAUCGUAUUCCAAACUCCGCGGGAAGUAUGUUGUUGUUUUUGUUUGUGUUGAGUUUGCGGGGUAAACGUGAAUGUUUAAAGAGUGAUUAUGGAAAAUGAAAUAUACUGGUAGUAUGGGGUGAAAGUUAUCAUAUGAUAACGAGGCAAAGCUUUAAAAAAGUUUUGAUCCGGUGUUAGAUUAUUUUACAUAGUGUUUGACAGGUAGUCUGCAUCAGUAUGUGCUACACUGUGAAAGUAAGAUUUCUCGGUUUCAACUCUCAGUUCUGUGCUGUGAAGAAAUACCACUAUGAGCACUAUGAAUAUAUGUCUCCUCAUUCCACAUAAAAGAAAGACUCCGGUUUUGAGAACAACACUAUUGACUGCCUGGUCGUAACAUGGAUCAGUAUGAAAAAUUCAAUGGCUACCACAAAAUGGAUAGUGUUAAGAAGAGGAUUCCUGAUUACACUGAUAUAGCUUACCGGGAAGCUGUUGCCAGGUUAAGAUAUCUGCUUGCAGAAUCUUAUUCAUCACGUGGAACGCCAACAAAAUUAUCACAUACUCAUUCAACCAAGAUAGAAGACAGUGGAGAUGAAACAGAUGCAUCAGCUGUUGUGAGUGAUCGGUCGCGGCAUGUUUCAUAUCGUGCUCCCAUCUUUGAAACCAAAUACAGUGUAUACCCAGGACUUGCUGUGAAAUCAUGUAGCCAGCUGCAUGGUCCUCCCACACAACUGCCAGCAACUAGAGGAACUGCAUCAGUAGCUUCUGGCGAUGAACCAACAUCCAAAGCGUCAGCUACUCAGCCACCACCAGAACUGAUGGCAUACAUUGAAAGACAGGAAGAGUAUAUAGAACAGUUGGAGAAGGAGUCACAGUACUGCAGAGAAGAACUGUCAAACCUGAUUGGCAGAGUAAAAGACGUGAUAUCAGAAAAUGAAGGACUACAUGAGAAAGAGAAAUCUGGUUUGCUGAAAUCAGUAUUUGAAUCUUUUGAAAGUGGGGAAGAUGAAGAUGAUGACGAUGCUGAUACAUCAGAUGAAAAGAAGGAAAAGAAAAAAAUGCAGCUAGCUAAGAAGAAGCGUCUGGAAGGACCUAGCAUAGUGUUUGAAUCAAGAAUAAGUGAACUGGAGGCACAACUUACACAAACAAAAAUUGAUCUUAGAAAGGCACUGGAAGAAGUUGACAUGUAUAAGAAGAAACUGGCUGAUGUGCAGUCUCAUUCAUACGAUGGAAGUUCCAUUCCAAAUAUUGAAACUUACAAACAUCAAAUUGAAAUUUUACAAAGGGAAAAGGAAGAACUUAAAGAUAAUAUGGCUAAAUUGAAUAUGGCUGUUGCUCAGAUCAGAGAAAAAGAAGCUGAUGCAACUCACAAGGCCAAGAGGACGUUAGAUGUUGCUGACCAAGCAGAAUUUGAGAAAGCUCAGGCAGAAAUGGAAGUACGUAGGUUGAAAGAGGAGCUGGACCGCCAGCAUGAGAAACUACGUGACCUUCUGCAAGAGCAGGGCCGAAAAGUACAAGAAGAACGGGCAGCAGCAGAAAGACGAUAUGCUCAGCAAGUUGAGCAGCUGAGUUCUGAUUUAGCCAUGCAGUGGGAUGCUGUCGGAAAGCUACAACUCGAACUAGAGCGGGAGCGUCGCAUUGAAGCAGACUUGCGCCGUGAACUGCAGCAGAAAAAUUGUGCUAUAGAAGAACUCAAAAAGGAAUUGCAUACAAAAAUUGCAGGUCUCCAGAGUGAGGCGUCACAGAACGCAGCAGAACGUGGUUCCUUGGAGCAAGAGCUUACUUCAAGUAGACUCAUGAUUGAGCGAGCUGAACGUGAGGCACGGCAGGAAGCAGCUCGACUUCAGGCUGAAAUAACAGCACUUCGACAACGUCUCGAUCGUGCUGAUGGAGAUCUCUUGCACAGCAGGCGUGAAAACCUACGGCUUUCUGAACAGGUUGCAUCACUUGAGCGAGAGCUUAACCUAGCAAAAAUGGCUAAAGAAAGUGCUACAAGAGAUGCUGGUAUUAGAUCCUCUCCAAGUAAACAGUCAGGUGGAAGGGAAAAAGAGCUCUCAUCAAUGAUUAUGGAUAUGGAAGCUAAACAUGGAGCUGAGGGGCAGACUGGAGAAGGCCAACAGAUUUCUGCUUCCCAGAGACAAGAACAAGUAAAAGUAGAUAUAUCAGUUAAAGUGUUUCCGAAAGCUAGUAAGGGAAGAGAUGGCCGGGCUACAAAGUAACAUAGAUUAUUUAAAUAACAAACUUGCAGUCUCAUUUGGGACUGAAGAGUGGAGAGGCAACACAUUUGGAGAGGAGCAAAAUGAAACAAGAGACAGGAGACUUGAAACAGGACAGUAUGAUUCACAACAAGGCUAUGAAGAACAAGUCGAGUACCCUCCCCACCAACAGUAUGAGCAACCAGAAGAAUAUGG